rnacentral:rRNA from 1 species
UCAGGUAGGAAUACCCGCUGAACUUAAGCAUAUCAAUAA